CCUACGGGCGGCAGCAGUCGAGAAUCAUUCACAAUGGGGGAAACCCUGAUGGGGCGACGCCGCGUGGGGGAAGGAAGGUCUCCGGAUGGUAAACCCCGGUCAUGGGGGAGAAAAUUAAAAAGAUAGAACCACAAGAGGAAGAGACGGCUAACUCGGAGCCAGCAGCCGCGGUAAGACAGAGGUCUCAAGCGUUGUUCGGAAUGACUGGGCGUCCAGCGUGCGGAGGCUGUUUCGUAAGUCGUGUGUGAAAGGCGCGGGCUCAACCCGCGGACGGCACCUGAUACUGCGAGACUAGAGUACUGUAGGGGGAACCGGAAUUCUCUGUGUAGCAG
rnacentral:rRNA from 1 species